GGAGGGGUGGCAGAGUGGUUGAAUGCGGCGGUCUUGAAAACCGUUGAGGGUUUUACCCUCCGGGGGUUCAAAUCCCUCCCCCUCCGCCA
rnacentral:tRNA from 1 species